GGGCCGGUCGUCUAGCUCGGUUAGGACGUCAGACCAGCUCCGUCAGGCUCUUACACAGCGAAGGUCGAGUGUUCGAAUCACUCCCGGCCCA
rnacentral:tRNA from 1 species